rnacentral:rRNA from 1 species
UACGGGAGGGUGCGAGCGUUGUCCGGAAUCAUUGGGCGUAAAGGGCGCGUAGGUGGCCCGGUCAGUCCGUGGUGAAAGCGCGGGGCUCAACCCCGCGUCGGCCAUGGAUACUGCUGGGCUGGAGCACUGUAGAGGCAGGCGGAAUUCCGGGUGUAGCGGUGGAAUGCGUAGAUAUCUGGAGGAAUACCGGUGGCGAAGGCGGCAUCCUGGACCGGCAUUGACGCUGAGGAGCGAAAGCUAGGGGAGCAA